CGUCACGCGCGGGGCGGGUCCUGCGCUGCGUCAGGGUGCCGAGGCGGGGUUUCUCGCCUCCGGUCACAAUGGGACCUCUGUACCGCGCUGGGCUUGUUGGCCUGCGAUUAGCACACACCCAUCCCUGGGAACUGCUAGUCUGGAAAGCGGGGCUGCUUCUCCGGGAUGAGCCCGAGCCCUGCCAAGCCCCUCAAGGCAUUGAAGCUUUAGCUCACCUUAUCCGAAUGGUCAUUGGGCAUCUGGACUUGAGUUAACGACUGAAUUUUUCUGGGAAGCAAGGGACACGUUCUAAAAUAACCCCAGGAUCACUCUCCGAACUUGGCCUGAGUCUAGGCAAGCAGUGUUACUCGGUCGCCUUGAUCUUGGAGCUGCUGUGUACUGGGGACCUCAUACUAGUUGGGUUAACUAUAUUCCCAUUAGCAGUACGCGGGAUCGCAGUACUCGGGACAAGCUGAGUUCAGGUAUUUGGCUGCUAUGAGUAACACGAUCUGGAAAGACAGCGCUAGCAAGGAAUGAGGAGUGAUACAGUGACUGGAGGCUAAGAGAUAAUGUCUGCAAGUCACCUAAAACCAUUGCAGACACAGGGAGAUUGAUGGAUUUGGAGGACUUCUGGUUGUGAAGACUCUGACGAUUGCUAAAGACUAUCUACGGCCUUCCCCACCGCAUCCUGUGUCUGUAAAGACUCCAGACUCAGCUGGCAGAGGAGAGAAGUGGCUGGAUGUUGGGAAGAAGCAAGUUGACCUCAGAGAAAGCAGCUGGAUGUCAGAAAGAGGCAAUUUGACUUCCGAAGAGAGAGACAGAGAGGUGACUUAACCUCAGGGGAGAGCAACCUGCCCUUGAGACAGAGAGGUGACUUAACCUCAGGGGAGAGCAACCUGCCCUUCCCAUCCCCUUUCCAGCUCCCCUCUCCGCUGAGAGUUGCUUUCAUCACUGAAUAAAAUUCUCCA
rnacentral:lncRNA from 1 species